CACAAAGGUUUGGUCCUAGCCUUACUAUCAAUUGUCUCUCAAUUUACACAUGCAAGUCUCAGCACUCCCGUGAGGACGCCCUUUUCCCUUUACCAGGUUAAGGAGCUGAUAUCAGGCACACUUCACCACCACCCCUGCCCACAACAUCUGGUCCCACCACACCCACAAGGGUAUUCAGCAGUGAUAAACAUUGUUCAUAAGCGUCAGCUUGACUCAGUCAGAGAGAAGAGGGCCGGCCAACUUGGUGCCAGCCGCCGCGGCUAUACCCACGGGCCCAAAUUGAUAAUACUCGGCGUUAAGCGUGAUUAAAGUCUGAUCAAAUUAGAGUUGAACCUACGAUCCAGCUGUAAAAAGCAUGCACUAGGGAAAACCGUAAACGAAAGUUACUCUAAUCUACACUUGAAUACACGACAACUA
rnacentral:rRNA from 1 species